CGAAAGCUCCGUCUUCUUCAAGCAGGCCCAGGUCGGCUUUCCCCUAAUCUCGCCGACGACGAAUCCCCAAAUCCACACCGACGACGAAGCCCUAAUCACCCGACGACGAAGCUCGCAUCUCGCCCGACGACGAAGCCCUAUUCUCGCCCGACGACGAAGUCUGAGCUCGAUCUUAAAUCUCCCAACUCAGAUUGAAAUGGCUUCAUCAUCAACUGUGGAAGGCAACUCCUGUGUUGAAGUUGAUAUUAGAUUCAUAUUGAAACAAUGCGAGUGUGGUGAAUUAGCGGAUGUGAAGAUAACGAAGUCGAACAAGAACAAUAACCGUGGUAGAAUUUACUACUCGUGUAAAAGGCAAAAGUGCGGUUCGUUUUUGGGCUGGUGCAAGAUUUCAUCAGUUGAACAAAUACCACUCGUCAUUGCCCCACCAGAGGCGCGUGACGUGGUUGUUGUACGUGAAAAAGUGUUGUGGAAAUGGUUAACUGUUAUAGCU